UACGUAGGGUGCGAGCGUUGUCCGGAAUUAUUGGGCGUAAAGAGCUCGUAGGCGGUCUGUCGCGUCUGCUGUGAAAACUCGGGGCUUAACCCCGGGCCUGCAGUGGGUACGGGCAGACUAGAGUACGGAAGAGGCGAGUGGAAUUCCUGGUGUAGCGGUGAAAUGCGCAGAUAUCAGGAAGAACACCCGUGGCUAAGGCGGCUCUCUAGUACGGUACUGACGCUGAGACGCGAAAGCGUGGGGAGCGAACAGG
rnacentral:rRNA from 1 species